GUGUAUAACUUCCCACGGUGAUCAACAAGUGAUCCACCGUCGUGAUACAGAAAACCCUGGGUUGAACCUGAAGGUACCUCGUUAAGGCAAAAUAUUGCUUUGUAGUACAGGCCUCAG